UGUUACCUUUGUUUAGUAAAUGUGUUUUAAAGAAAUUUCAGGAUAGUAUUUGUGCUUAUAGUCCAAUGUUUUGAGGUUCUGGGUUAUAGGUCUGAUAUUUUACUUAAUUUUAAUAUUGAAAUACUUUAGAAUAUUUUAGAAUACUUUAAUACUGAUUCUAAUUCUAAUCCUGUCUUCUUCAUAAGUGAGCCCUAUGUUUGACCAAAAAGAUGUGGGGUUUUUUGGUGCUGAGUUUCAUUUCUGGUACAAGAAAAUGAAAUGAAAAUAAAAAUAAGCUUAACACUAGGCUUAGAUAAUCUUAAAUGUGAAAUAUGGAAUUUUCAUAAGAUGUCUUUCCUAAAAGUAAGUGCUUAAGCAGUACUUAUUUAAAUAAUAGAAUUCUGUGGCCACUGACUAACACUUUUACAAUAGGUUGAGGUUCCUUGGCUAUAAGGACUUUUAAGCAUUUUUUAACCACUUGUAAAAAAAAAAAAGAAUUACUUUGUGGGAAGAAAUAGAGAUAAAGAAUAUGGGAGGAAACUGGUCUGUCCCUUGAGCCAAGUGAUUUUUGUUUAUCUUUUCUCAUCUUCUAGGUCUGAAAAUUUUUUUUUGGUACCGGGGAUUGAACUCUGGACCUUGUGCUUGCGAGGCAGGUCUGAAUUUUAACAUUUCCUUCAGGAAUCCUUUUUGCUCUUUUUGUUUUAUCGUUGCACUAGGGAUUAAACUCAGAACUCAGGCCCUCAUGCAUAUCUAGGGAUUGGAUGCAGGGCCUUGUGCAUGCUAGGCAAGUGCUUUACCACUGAACUACAUCCCCAGCCCUUUUUAUUGUAUCUUGAGACAGAGUCUUGCUAAGUUGCCCAUGCUGGCCUCCAGCUGUGAUCCUUCUACUUAAGAGACCUGUAUUUUUAAGGAAAUAAGGUGUAUGAUUUCUUCCAAAUGAGAAAAAAAGUUGGGAGAUGUCUGUGACUCUUGGUUAUGUAGUACUUUUAUCUAGUUUGUAUAUUUACCCUAUUAAAGAUACAAAUAUU